rnacentral:rRNA from 1 species
AUACGGAGGGUCCAAGCGUUAUCCGGAUUCAUUGGGUUUAAAGGGUCCGCAGGCGGGAAAAUAAGUCAGUGGUGAAAGCCUACAGCUCAACUGUAGAACUGCCUUUGAUACUGUUUUUCUUGAGUAUAGAUGAAGUGGGUGGAAUAUAUCAUGUAGCGGUGAAAUGCAUAGAUAUGAUAUAGAACACCGAUUGCGAAGGCAGCUCACUAAACUAUUACUGACGCUCAGGGACGAAAGCGUGGGGAGCGAACAGGAUUAGAUACCCUAGUAGUCC